rnacentral:rRNA from 1 species
GCGACCCCAGGAUGGGCGAGCCCACCCGCCGAGUUUAAGCAUAUCAAUAAGCGGAGG